rnacentral:lncRNA from 1 species
UCUCCCCAUCGGACAGGAGCCUGAGGCCCCACGUAGGUACGAAAAGGCUUUUCUGAAAUUGGGGGCGGUGAGCGAGCCUAACCUGUGCGCCAGCAUCAAUGCCUGCCAGGAGCUCAGGACUCACCUUCUGGCCAAGUUCCCAGAAAGCUUUGGAGAGCUGGAGAAGGCCCUGGGGGCUGCUGCCCAUGCCUUUCAGAAGGGGCUGCUCCAGGGCUUGCAGGGCGCUGUGCAGGUGAGGGGGCCGGCCCUUUCUCCCCACUUUGCUUGCUCAGCACGUGCGCCCUGUGUCCUGAGCCUGGGGGCCCAAGUCAGAGCACUCAUUUACCAUAGGGGCGUGUUGGGGUGGUGUUUCGGGCACAGGCAGGGAACCCAGACAUAUUCCCAGCUGAGCAAGAACAGUUGGGAAACAAUUACCUUCGUCCUUCACUCUUCUUGGGCUUCUCUGGUGGCUCAGAUGGUAAAGAAUCCACCAAUAAUUGCAGCACACCCAGGUUCGAUCCCUGGGUGAGGAAGAUCCCCUGGAGAAGGGAAUGGCAAUCCACUCUAGUAUACUUACCUGGAGAAUCCCAUGGAUGGAGGUACACUCCACGUGGUCACAAAGAGUC